GACGAACGCUGGCGGCGUGCCUAAUACAUGCAAGUAGAACGCUGAAGAGAGGAGCUUCCUCUUCUUGGAUGAGUUGCGAACGGGUGAGUAACGCGUAGGUAACCUGCCCUGUAGCGGGGGAUAACUAUUGGAAACGAUAGCUAAUACCGCAUAACAAUGGAUGACACAUGUCAUUUAUUUGAAAGGGGCAAUUGCUCCACUACAAGAUGGACCUGCGUUGUAUUAGCUAGUAGGUGAGGUAAUGGCUCACCUAGGCGACGAUACAUAGCCGACCUGGGAGGGUGAUCGGCCGCACUGGGACUGAGACACGGCCCAGACUCCUACGGGAGGCAGCAGUAGGGAAUCUUCGGCAAUGGGGGCAACCCUGACCGAGCAACGCCGCGUGAGUGAAGAAGGUUUUCGGAUCGUAAAGCUCUGUUGUAAGUCAAGAACGGGUGUGAGAGUGGAAAGUUCACACUGUGACGGUAGCUUACCAGAAAGGGACGGCUAACUACGUG
rnacentral:rRNA from 1 species